rnacentral:rRNA from 1 species
GAUGAACGCUAGCUACAGGCUUAACACAUGCAAGUCGAGGGGAAACGAUAGGGAAAGCUUGCUUUUUUUAGGCGUCGACGGGCGCACGGGUGAGUAACGCGUAUUCAACCUGCCCAUCACUUGGGGAUAACCUUGCGAAAGUAAGAAUAAUACCCAAUGACGUCUGUAUAAGACAUCUGACGGAGAUUAAAGAUUUAUAGGUGAUGGAUGGGGAUGCGUCUGAUUAGAUUGUCGGCGGGGUAACGGCCCACCAAGGCGCCGACCGGUAGGGGUUCUGAGAGGAAUGUCCCCCACAUUGGAAGUGAGACACGAUCCAAACUCCUACGGGAGGGAGCAGAGAGGAAUAUUGGUCAAUGGACGGGAGUCUGACCCAGCCAAGUAGCGUGCAAGAAGACGGCCCUAUGGGUUGUAAACUGCUUUUAUAAUGGAAUAAAGUGAGUCUCGUGAGUCUUUUUGCAUGUACCUUAUGAAUAAGGACCGGCUAAUUCCGUGCCAGCCGCCGCGGUAA